UAAAAUAUGAGAACUGUUGACAGGAAGCUGCAGCUUGGAUGGGAUGAUCACAACUCCAGGGCAAUGAGAUGACACGAAGUUGCAGGAGAGACCCCAGGGGACAAGAGUCUCUUGCCGUCUGCCCCAGGGCCCAGCCCUCCUUGUCCUCCCUGGCUGUUAUCUUCGGUACUACAAAGAGAACACAGACAUAUCUGACCUGGUGACCUGGCUGUACUGGAAAAGUCAGCUUCAUCAAAUUCUUUACACAAGGAAAAUACAAGGAAAGGGACAAGCCUCAUUGACUUGGAGACAAGAUGAAUGAGAACAGCACCAAAAGCCCCCUAGCCCCAGACUGCACCCACUUUCCUGGCCCUACCUUGAAAUCCAUCAGGUCUGCAUUGGACACGGCAUUGUACAUGGGGUUAGCUCUGGUCUGACCUGGAAGCUGGAAUGCCAGAAAGAGGAGGAAGCUCACGGUGACAGUGGAGAAGGAGCCCAUGCUGGUGUAGUCAAGGAGCGAUCCACUGCUUGCUGCUGUCUCUCCCCUCUGGUUCCUCUCUGUUUCCCCUCUCUUGGCCUACGUCCGUCCCUGUCUCCGAACUGCCCAGCGCCUCCUCUUUUUAUAGUCCUCCCCACUCUUCAAGCACGCAGGAGAGACAGAACCCUCCCCAUUCUGUCACUUGCAGCGAUAAAGCAGCUGAGUGAGAAGCCAGCAGGAGAUGCCCUUUUAAAGUUAUCAUCCCACAGGGCUUGUCACAGCCCCUCUGCCUUGGGCAGCCCCAACAGCCCCCCAGACCCUCCGCUGCAAGAGCCGAAUUCUUGCUGAUUUGACUCAAGAGGCUCCCACUUCAAAGGUGUGGGAAGAGCAAAAAAGAGUCCUUGGUUAUCUCACC